GCAGGGGUGCAACGGGGUUCGCACGAUUGGUGUACAAAAUUGGGGUGCGGUAGAUGAUUUUGGGCGUGGUUUCCUUAUUAUUGAUUAGGUACUAGAUAACUAGAUUAUUAUGUAAUACUUACAUAGGAGAUAAGUAGAUGUUAUGAUUUUUGCCAAGCUUAUCGGCAGGUCGGAACAUCGCGCAAACGUCGUGCAGACUCUACACUCGUAAAUCAGUUGCUAGCCGCCAUUAAGUUUAUCGAUAACAUAGCUACAAAUAUAAUAACGUAAAUAAUUACGAUUUUAGGUUGGAACCAUGGACGUUGACCACCAUCAGAUGUUGCAGCCGGGUGUUGCAAUAGCACUGGGUGUUUCGAUAACAGUAUCUAAGCUUUAUGCAGUAUUUACUGAAAAUGAAUGGCCGGGAUGAUGAGAUCCAAUUAUUGGGAUGAUGAAAAAUUUACACUGUAUAAUUAUAUUACGGAGGUACUCUUUUUGAUUUUUUAUCUAUCAGCAGAAAAAAGUAAGUAGUGUACUACCUAAUUGUAUUAUUUAAAAAUCCUGCUAUUAAUCAAAACCAAAGAGAAGAUCAUUAAAUAUCUGCCAUUUUUAUGUUUAUGUUUCAGAUCUGUAUAGUAGCACAAAUACACAAUAUCUACCAAAGAAGAUUAAGUAAGCUUCUCUCCAAAAGAAGAUUCGAGGCUAAGGAAUUAUACAAACUUCUUCUAUUUUCAGAAUUUAAGGACAUUCGAAUUAGGAACUCCAAAGUACCGGAUCACAGCGAGGCACACCGUGGCCCUAAUCACACAUUAUGUCUAUUCAAAACUUCUCUGAAAAUGUCUUGCAAAUGGGUUUUCGUACAUCGUUUAGAAGACAAUCCUGUCAAACAGAAAAACCAUCGAAGUAUCGGAAUACCUUCAACUGGUCGACUGAUUUCCUUGGAAAAUCACCCCUGGUCUCCAUUGCUUACAGACCCACGUGGCCGCUGCGUCGACGCUUCGCUGCGACCUUCCGCGGUGAGAUGUCUAUUUUUUUUAUUGGGAACGGCUAUUACCCGGUUCGAUUCCGGUCGUACGUACGUACAGACAUAUCUAAUAAACAAAGUUGUCUUGUGAAGUUCAAAUGUAGUCCAGAUGUACAAAAAGAAAGGCGUAACGAAUUUUUAUUGCGUAACGAACGUAUUUAUUGCGUUUUUUUUUUCGUUACGGAAUUUCUGGAUUUGGUCCCCGCGCUCAAGGCCUGCGAUAGAAGCUAUGCAAUAGCUUAAAAAUCUCUCAACCCAUAGUAAUUUCGAGUAAAAUAGUUCUCAUCAGAGUUCAUAGUGGUAAUAAAUGGAUGCGCCCAGCAUGUUCAACGAAAAGCGAGCAAGAUAAAUCUUACGAAUCCUAAAAACACGUCCAUUACGGCUGAAUAUAGUUGAAAGUAUGGUUACCCUACCAAACGGGCUGCCGAACAAAAUAGCACUGCGUCGCAGUUGUGUGUGGGCGCCCUUAGACACGGUCAGUGCUCUAAAGAUAAAGAUAACAAAUUAGGCGGGUACAUCAUUAUUGUACACUAGCUUUCCCGCCGUCUCACCCGCGUUCCGUAGCCGGAUGGUGACAAAAACUAUCCUAAAACCUUCUCCCGGGUCUAAGUUACCUCCCCUUUUAUUUUCAGCAAAAUCGGUCAAGCCGUUUUCAUGUUAUGUCGUGACAACGGAAAGCGGGUUUCAUUUUUAUAUAUAUAAAAAAUAAAACAGUUUAGAAUAACACUUUAUUCUAAACUGUAUGAAACUAAGCUGAAUGUCUGCUAAUUAUAACAUUAUUAAAAAUUAAAAAUGACUUACCAGCUGAUAAUUUAUUAUCCAGCAAAUAAAAAUUAUGUCAACAAUUGUACGACUAUUAUUGUAAGGUUAAGGUAGUGUAAAUUUGCAAAAAAAGAACAAAUCUUUUAAUAGUUUCGGAGAGUGAUAAGUAGGUACAUAACUACCUAUCUUAUAUAGGUAUGUAUGUGUUCUUUGUAAUUUUUUACUCAAACAAAAGACUGGCUUUAGGUAGCCCACACAAAACUGCACCGCGGCGUCGCAUCGCAUCGCAUUUUUGUAUCAGCCCCAUGCAAAUUUCUGCGAUGCGAUUUGGUCCGGCAAACCGGUUAGGAGGGUAACCACACAUUCCAAUGAAUCGUUUUGUGGGCAUGGGGCAUGUUGAUAAUAAACGCAAAAGCUCUUCAAAUGAAGAUAAGGACAUUCUAAAUAAAAAUAAAACAAUCUCUUAACCCAUAGUAAUUUCGAGGAAAAUAGUUCUCAUCAGAGUUCAUAGUGGUAAUAAAUGGAUGCGCCCAGCAUGUUCAACGAAAAGCGAGCAAGAUAAAUCUUACGAAUCCUAAAAACACGUCCAUUACGGCUAAAUAUAGUUGAAAGUACGGUUACCUUACUAAACGGGCUGCCGAACAAAAUAGCAUUGCAUUGCAGUUUUGUGUAAAAUAGUUCCCAUCAGAGUUCAUAGUGGUAAUAAAUGGAUGCGCCCAGCAUGUUCAACGAAAAGCGAGCAAGAUAAAUCUUACGAAUCCUAAAAACACGUCCAUUACGGCUGAAUAUAGUUGAAAGUAUGGUUACCAUGCCAAACGGGUUGCCGAACAAAAUAGCACUGCGUCGCAGUUUUGUGUAAAAUAGUUCUCAUCAGAGUUCAUAGUGGUAAUAAAUGGAUGCGCCCAGCAUGUUCAACGAAAAGCGAGCAAGAUAAAUCUUACGAAUCCUAAAAACACGUCCAUUACGGCUGAAUAUAGUUGAAAGUAUGGUUACCAUGCCAAACGGGUUGCCGAACAAAAUAGCACUGCGUCGCAGUAUUGUGUGGGCGCCCUUAGACACGGUCAGUGUGCUAAAGAUAAAGAUAACAAUAAACACUAGCUGUCCCUCCGUUUCACCCGCGUCCCGUAGCCGGAUGGUGACAAAAACUAUUCUAAAACUUUCUCCCGGGUCUAAGUUACCUCCCCUGUUAUUUUCAGCAAAAUCGGUCAAGCCGUUUUCAUGUUAUGUCGUGACAACGGAAAGCGGGUUUCAUUUUUAUAUAUAUAUAGAAAAAUAAAACAGUUUAGAAUAAAGUGUUAUUCUAAACUGUAUGAAACUAAGCUGAAUGUCUGCUAAUUAUAACAUUAUUAAAAAUGACUUACCAGCUGAUGAUUUAUUAUCCAGCAAAUAAAAAUUAUGUCAACAUUUGCACGACUACUAUAAGGUAGUGUAAAUUUGUAAAAAAAAAACAAAUCUUUUAAUAGUUUUGGAGAGUGAGAUAAGUAGGUACAUAACUACCUAUCUUAUAUAGGUAUGUAUGUGUUAUAUGAAAACAAAAGAAUAGCUUUAGGGAGCCCACACAAAACUGCACCGCGGCGUCGCAUCGCAUCGCAUUUUUGUAUCAGCCCCAUGCAAAUUUCUGCGAUGCGAUUUGGUCCGGCAAACCGGUUAGGAGGGUAACCACACAUUCCAAUGAAUCGUUUUGUGGGCAUGGGUCAUGUUGAUAAUAAACUCAAAAGCUCUUCAAAUAAAGAUAUGCUCAACCUAAAUAAUAAAAAUAAAAAAAUCUGGGUUGCUCUCAACCCAUUGUACCUACUUUCGAGUAAAAUAGUUCCUAUCAGAGUCCAUAGUGGUAAUAAAUGGAUGCGCCCAGCAUGUUCAACGAAAAGCGAGCAAGAUAAAUCUUACGAAUCCUAAAAACACGUCCAUUACGCCUAAAUAUAGUUGAAAGUACGGUUACCCUACCAAACGGGCUGCCGAACAAAAUAGCAUUGCAUUGCAGUUUUGUGUAAAAUAGUUCUCAUCAGAGUUCAUAGUGGUAAUAAAUGGAUGCGCCCAGCAUGUUCAACGAAAAGCGAGCAAGAUAAAUCUUACGAAUCCUAAAAACACGUCCAUUACGGCUGAAUAUAGUUGAAAGUAUGGUUACCCUACCAAACGGGUUGCCGAACAAAAUAGCACUACGUCGCAGUUUUGUGUGGGCGCCCUUAGACACGGUCAGUGUGCUAAAGAUAAAGAUAACAAUAAACACUAGCUGUCCCGCCGUUUCACCCGCGUCCCGUAGCCGGAUGGUGACAAAAACUAUUCUAAAACUUUCUCCCGGGUCUAAGUUACCUCCCCUGUUAUUUUCAGCAAAAUCGGUCAAGCCGUUUUCAUAUUAUGUCGUGACAAUGGAAAGCGGGUUUCAUUUUUAUAUAUACAGAAAAAUAAAACUGUUUAGAAUAACACUUUAUUCUAAACAGUAUGAAACUAAGCUGAAUGUCUGCUAAUUAUAACAUUAUUAAAAAUGACUUACCAGCUGAUGAUUUAUUAUCCAGCAAAUAAAAAUUAUGUCAACAAUUGCACGAAUACUAUAAGGUAGUGUAAAUUUGUAAAAAAAAUCAAAUCUUUUAAUAGUUUCGGAGAGUGAGAUAAGUAGGUACAUAACUACCUAUCUUAUAUAGGUAUGUAUGUGUUAUAUGAAA